rnacentral:rRNA from 1 species
UACGUAGGUGACCAGCGUUGUCCGGAUUUACUGGGCGUAAAGAGCGCGCAGGCGGUCGUUCAAGUCGAGUGUGAAAGCCUUGAGCUCAACUCAAGAAAUGCACUCGGUACUGGGUGACUAGAGGACCGGAGAGGAUAGUGGAAUUCCCAGUGUAGUGGUGAAAUACGUAGAGAUUGGGGAAAGAACACCAGUGGCGAAGGCGGC